UCCUAGCUGAUGAGUUCCAAAUAGGACGAAACGCGCGUCCUGGAU
rnacentral:hammerhead_ribozyme from 1 species